GAAAAAGAAAACAGAAACAGGGAUCACAUGACUCACCCUUAUGUCAACUCAGAAGAAAAAAAACAGAGGUCUGAUGCUGUUGGAGGGAGCAAGAAAAUGGGCACAGAAGGUUAGCCAUGCACUCUACAUUGAUGACAUCGAGAUCCACAGCAGCUUUCAGGAUGAAUCAAGAUGAAGAAAUGUGAUUAUUAAGGAAUAUGGCAAAACCUGGAGAAAUAAACUGCUCAGUGCUGGACA
rnacentral:lncRNA from 1 species